rnacentral:rRNA from 1 species
ACUCCAGUUGAUCCUGCUGGACCCGACUGCUAUCGGAUUGAGAUUUAGCCAUGCGAGUCGAACGUCUCCCUGUUGCGGGAGGCGUGGCGUACGGCUCAGUAACACGUAGUCAACCUGCCCUAAAGACAUGGACAACCCCGGGAAACUGGGAUUAAUCCGUGAUAGGUCAUCUCAUCUGGAAGGAGAGAUGGCUUAAAGGGGUGCGAGAGCUUCUUUUUUGCAUCCGCUUUAGGAUGGGACUGCGGCCGAUCAGGCUGUUGGUGGGGUAAUGGCCCACCAAACCUGUAACCGGUACGGGCCUUGAGAGAGGGGGCCCGGAGAUGGACACUGAGAGAAGGGUCCAGGUCCUACGGGGCGCAGCAGGCGCGAAACCUUCGCAAUGCGCGAAAGCGUGACGAGGUUAAUCCGAGUGACUCCCGCUGAGGGGGUCUUUUGUCAGCUGUAAAUAGGCA